UACAGAGGGUGCGAGCGUUAAUCGGAUUUACUGGGCGUAAAGGGCGCGUAGGCGGUUUAGUAAGUGAGAUGUGAAAUCCCUGGGCUUAACCUAGGAACUGCAUCUCAUACUGCGAAGCUAGAGUAUUGUAGAGGGUAGUGGAAUUUCCGGUGUAGCGGUGAAAUGCGUAGAGAUCGGAAGGAACACCAGUGGCGAAGGCGGCUACCUGGACAAAUACUGACGCUGAUGCGCGAGAGCGUGGGGAGCAAGCAGG
rnacentral:rRNA from 1 species